rnacentral:rRNA from 1 species
ACCUGGCAGUAAUUAGUACGGCAGAACCACCUGAUUCCAUUCCGAACUCAGAAGUGAAAUGUCGUGGCGCCGAUGGUAGUGUGGGGUCUCCCCAUGUGAGACUAGGAAACUGCCAGGUUUCGC